GAUGAAGGGGCAAACAGUGAAGUGAGAUACCGCAUGUAUGAAGCCAACAGUUCUGAGGCGCUGGAGCUCUUCUCAGUCAACCCCACCACCGGCGAGGUCACCGUGGCACAGACCAUCCACAGCCGAGAAAAUGAGGUGUACCAGUUUUUCAUCCGUGGCGAGGACAGCGGCUCCCCCCAGCACCACUCCGACGUGCCCGUCACCAUCUUCCUGCUGCCCCCUCAUGAGAACCCCCCGCACUGCGCCAGGAAGUAUGCACAGUUCUUCAUCAGGGAGGACGCCCCCAUCGGCAAUGUGAUCACGUCCCUGUGGAUGGCGGGGCCACAGUCAGUGCAGUACCUGAUCAUGGUGGACGAGGGCAUGAAGGCAGCCAGUGAGGAGAGGGAGUCUGGGGGAGUUCAGGGCCCUUCACCGUGACCUCCACUGGCCUGGUGGUGGUGCACAGGGCCCUGGACCAUGAGCGGCGACGCACACAUCACAUCAGCGUCACCAACCGUACACUGACCACGCCGCCCACGGUGGACUACAUGACCAUCUCUGUGGUGGUGAUGGACGUGAAUGACUGCCCUCCACGCUUCUCUGAGUUCGGCUACACAGCCCUGGUGGCCGAGAACAGCGAGGUGGGCACCACCGUCACCAUCCUCACGGCCGCUGAUGACGAUGAAGGAAACCAUGGCCAGAUCCAGUACAGCCUCGGCCCCGAUGAAAGCGCUGUAGUGAAGUCAACUUUCCGCAUUGAUCCACACACUGGGACGCUGACCCUGGCGGCCCCGCUGGACCGCGAGACCAUGGCCCAGUACUCCUUCACUGUCACUGCCACUGACGGGGGCCCCAAGCCUCUGUCCACCAGCACAAGAGUCACUGUACUGGUCAAGGACUACAACGACAACCCUCCAGUGUUCACCAAAGACACUUACGUCACUGCUGGUGAGGCACUACAAGGGUUUUAUAGAUAAAUGAUUGACAGGAAAUUGAUUUUCUCUGUAAUAUGUC